GGAAAGACUGUUAUCAGGGGGAAAAUUGCAUUUUAGUUUCUGCAAAAUGGCAAAGAAUGAAAAAAACAUGAAGUAAAGUCUGUUUCAUAUUCAGCUAAGGCAAGGGACCCAGGGUGGCCAAGGUUGCAAAUCCAAAUAAAGAGAAAAUUUCCUAUUGGUUUAAUUCCUAACUGUUUUGACCUCUUACAGCAGGGUUAAAUUUAGCCCUUUGUUCUAAUGCAGAGUAAGACACUGUGAGCAGAGAUGAGCUAACUACUUAAUUUAGUUUCAUAGGGGUUGAUGUAAAGGUUUGCCUUGCGCACAAUUUCCCGCUUCCUACAUCCCAAGCUAAUUCCACUUCAAGCCCCAUGGGGGCUUAGCACCUGAAUGAACAUAGCAUCUCACAAGUCAAAUAAAUAAGAAGAAAAGAAUGAAAGAUUGAAUUUAAAGAGAAUGAAAAACAUUUUUCCUUGUCUGAAGAUAUGGACCCUUCCAGUUUUGCCUGCACUGAAUAUUAUUGAGCAGAAAAAGACUGCACUAUAAUGAUUGCUUAUCUCUGUCUUUUCUCUAUUUCCCUUGAACAGUGGUUGGGAGUUUUCAUUUCCUAUGUCAUUUAUAACGUGCAGAGUUUUGUAUCUUUGUUUUCGUUUGUUGUGUGUGUGUGUUGUGAAAAGAGGGCCCGCUACAUUCUUCAUCACUCUUCCUUAUCCCAGCCACUAUUAAUGUUAAAGUCACAAUUUCUUCCUAAAAUACAGUGCAUUCUGACAGAGCUGGAUGACUUGCAAAGUUGUGUACAGACUGAAACGUUCCUUAACACCUGGUCACUGAUCUGAAGCUUGUCUAUAACUAUGGUAAACUUAGGCAAAGUAACAUCUGUAGUUUUGUAAGCAUACGCAGAGUGAGAAACCACUUCCAAAAAUGCCUUUAUCUGGCAACUUCAGAAAAUCAAGCACUCCAUAAUGGUCUUAAAAUCCAAGCCAACCUCUAACUCAUAAAAAUGGUCUUUCUAGGUCAGGGUUAUGGCACAUUGGCAAACAUAUGUCAAAUGCGCUCCACAGUACCUGCCCUGUUCUAUUCAUUAUCUAAGAAUGUCCAUCUGGAAUUGUAGAAAUGACCACAAUUCUUGUGUUUUUUUUUUUUCCAUUCUGGUCC
ensembl:lncRNA